AUACGGAGGGGGUUAGCGUUGUUCGGAAUUACUGGGCGUAAAGCGUACGUAGGCGGAUUAGUAAGUUAGGGGUGAAAUCCCGAGGCUCAACCUCGGAACUGCCUCUAAAACUGCUAGUCUUGAGUUCGAGAGAGGUGAGUGGAAUUCCUAGUGUAGAGGUGAAAUUCGUAGAUAUUAUGAGGAACACCAGUGGCGAAGGCGGCUCACUGGCUCGAUACUGACGCUGAGGUACGAAAGUGUGGGGAGCAAACAGGAUUAGAUACCCCAGUAGUCC
rnacentral:rRNA from 1 species